CAAUAAAGACCAUGUCCAUAUGGG
rnacentral:siRNA from 1 species